rnacentral:rRNA from 1 species
GAUGAACGCUGGCGGCGUGCCUAAUACAUGCAAGUCGAGCGAACAGAUGAGAAGCUUGCUUCUCUGAUGUUAGCGGCGGACGGGUGAGUAACACGUGGGUAACCUACCUAUAAGACUGGGAUAACUCCGGGAAACCGGGGCUAAUACCGGAUAAUAUUUUGAACCGCAUGGUUCGAUAGUGAAAGACGGUUUCGGCUGUCACUUAUAGAUGGACCCGCGCCGUAUUAGCUAGUUGGUAAGGUAACGGCUUACCAAGGCGACGAUACGUAGCCGACCUGAGAGGGUGAUCGGCCACACUGGAACUGAGCCACGGUCCAGACGCCUACGGGAGGCAGCAGUAGGGAAUCUUCCGCAAUGGGCGAAAGCCUGACGGAGCAACGCCGCGUAAGUGAUGAAGGUCUUCGGAUCGUAAAACUCUGUUGUUAGGGAAGAACAAAUUUGUUAGUAACUGAACAAGUCUUGACGGUACCUAACCAGAAAGCCACGGCUAACUACGUGCCAGCCGCCGCGGUAA